rnacentral:rRNA from 1 species
GAUGAACGCUGGCGGCGUGCCUAAUACAUGCAAGUCGAGCGAACAGAUAAGGAGCUUGCUCCUUUGAAGUUAGCGGCGGACGGGUGAGUAACACGUGGGUAACCUACCUAUAAGACUGGGAUAACUUCGGGAAACCGGAGCUAAUACCGGAUAACAUUUAGAACCGCAUGGUUCUAAAGUGAAAGAUGGUUUUGCUAUCACUUAUAGAUGGACCCGCGCCGUAUUAGCUAGUUGGUAAGGUAACGGCUUACCAAGGCGACGAUACGUAGCCGACCUGAGAGGGUGAUCGGCCACACUGGAACUGAGACACGGUCCAGACUCCUACGGGAGGCAGCAGUAGGGAAUCUUCCGCAAUGGGCGAAAGCCUGACGGAGCAACGCCGCGUGAGUGAUGAAGGGUUUCGGCUCGUAAAACUCUGUUAUUAGGGAAGAACAAAUGUGUAAGUAACUGUGCACAUCUUGACGGUACCUAAUCAGAAGGCCACGGCUAACUACGUG